GAUUGCUCAUAGCAAACCAUCGGAAACGGUGGGACGCAAAGCCACGGGUCUAAGGACGUUUGUCUACGAUCGCCGGGUUGCCAAU
rnacentral:ncRNA from 1 species